rnacentral:rRNA from 1 species
AACGAACGCUGGCGGCGUGCUUAAUACAUGCAAGUCGAGCGAGAAAGUUCCCUUCGGGGAGCGAGUACAGCGGCGAACGGGUGCGUAACACGUGGGCAAUUUGCCCCUAAGUCCGGGACAAGCCACCGAAAGGGGGUCGUAAUACCGGAUGUGGUUGUUCCGAGGCAUCUCGGGACAAUCAAAGGUAGCCACUACACUAUGCUAUCGCUUGGGGAGUGAGCCCGCGGCCCAUUAGCUUGUUGGCGGGGUAACGGGCCCACCAAGGCUACGAUGGGUAGCCGGCCUGAGAGGGUGAUCGGCCACACUGGGACUGAGAUACGGCCCAGACCCCUACGGGAGGGCAGCAGUAGGGAAGUAUUGCGCAAUGGACGAAAGUACUGACGCAGCAACGACCGCCGUGAGCGAUGAAGGUCGUUCGGA